UACGUAGGGUGCAAGCGUUGUCCGGAAUCAUUGGGCGUAAAGCGCGCGUAGGCGGCCCGGUAAGUCCGCUGUGAAAGUCAAAGGCUCAACCUUUGAAUGUCAGCGGAUACUGCCGGGCUAGAGUCCGGAAGAGGCGAGUGGAAUUCCUGGUGUAGCGGUGGAAUGCGCAGAUAUCAGGAGGAACACCAACGGCGAAGGCAGCUCGCUGGGACGGUACUGACGCUGAGGCGCGAAAGCGUGGGGAGCGAACAGG
rnacentral:rRNA from 1 species